AGCAGCCGCGGUAAUUCCAGCUCCAAUAGCGUAUAUUAAAGUUGUUGCAGUUAAAAAGCUCGUAGUUGAAUUUCGGGAUCAAGUCGUCGGUCGUGCUCAGGUACGUACUGGCGUCAUUGAUUUCUCCCUUCUGACGAACCAUGAUGUCAUUAAUUUGGUGUUAUGGGAAAUCAGGACUGUUACUUUGAAAAAAUUAGAGUGUUUAAAGCAGGCUCACGCUUGAAUACAUUAGCAUGGAAUAAUGAAAUAGGACGUUCGAUCCUAUUUUGUUGGUUUUAGGAUCAACGUAAUGAUUAAUAGGGAUAGUUGGGGGCAUUAGUAUUCAAUUGUCAGAGGUGAAAUUCUUGGAUUUAUUGAAGACUAACUACUGCGAAAGCAUUUGCCAAGGAUGUUUUCAUUAAUCAAGAACGAAAGUUAGGGGAUCGAAGACGAUCAGAUACCGUCGUAGUCUUAACCAUAAACUAUGCCGACUA
rnacentral:rRNA from 1 species